rnacentral:rRNA from 1 species
UACGAAGGGGGCUAGCGUUGCUCGGAAUCACUGGGCGUAAAGCGCACGUAGGCGGAUUCUUAAGUCGGUGGUGAAAUCCUGGAGCUCAACUCCAGAACUGCCUUCGAUACUGAGAGUCUUGAGUUCGGGAGAGGUGAGUGGAACUGCGAGUGUAGAGGUGAAAUUCGUAGAUAUUCGCAAGAACACCAGUGGCGAAGGCGGCUCACUGGCCCGGUACUGACGCUGAGGUGCGAAAGCGUGGGGAGCAAACAGG